rnacentral:rRNA from 1 species
GCUAAUGCCGUGCCGGCAGCGUGGGUAAUACGGAGGGGUCAAUCGUUAUCCGUAGUUAUUGGGUUGAAAGGGUCCGUAGGCGGACUUAUAAGUCAGUGGUGAAAGCCUGUCGCUUAACGAUAGAACUGCCAUUGAUACUGUAAGUCUUGAGUAUAUUUGAGGUAGCUGGAAUAAGUAGUGUAGCGGUGAAAUGCAUAGAUAUUACUUAGAACACCAAUUGCGAAGGCAGGUUACCAAGAUAUAACUGACGCUGAGGGACGAAAGCGUGGGGAGCGAACAGGAUUAGAUACCCGUGUAGUC